CCACCAUCCAAUCAGCGGCUGGCAUCGCCUUAGCAACAGGCCAACAAAUGCCGGCUGGCCAAUCAGGGAGGAGGAUGGGGGGCGUGGCUUGGGCCGCCAGCUCCGGGGGUGAGGCGCCCGCGGCGGUGGUUGAAUCGCGGCCGGAGCGGCGGCGGCCACCGCUCCGGCUGUCCCCCCACCCCCGGUUCUCCACACACAUACACACACCUUCCGUCCUCCCACCCCGCCAAAACACCGGCCACCGGAGACCCCCUCCGUGCCUGACAGGCUUCUGUCAACCCGCCACCCCGGGAGCUGCGUGGAGUUUCCGCCGUUCCGAAGGCAGGCGGAAGAUAACCCUGUCCUCCACGAGUGAUGGCAACCACAACUCCGUGGCCUGCAGUUGAUGUAGGACGCCUGAAAGCCGGCAGCCAGACGGGAUGCAGCUUCCACUCACGGAGCUCAGCCCGCAGCUCUUGUCCUUCCCAGUCCUGGGUUCGUUUUCACCAUCCACUUCUCUCAGGUCAAAUACGCAGAGACGACAGAGAGCAGGAAGACUGUCGUGGUUUCAGCUAAAUUUACCAAAACCAGACUGACAGAUGGCCCUUCCCACCCUCCCAAAAGAGAGGAGAGGAAGAGAUCAGGAGAUUUAUAAGUUUAGAAUGAACUAAGCUACUUAUAUGAAGAAUUAAUAUUAAAAUCAGAAAGAAGAAAAUAAUGAAUCAUAGAAUCAUACGGGGUUGGAAAGGACCGCUGGGGAUCCUCCAGUCCAACCCCCCCGCCAAAGCGGGUUUACCUAGACCAGGCUGCACAGGAACUUGUCCAGACAGAUGAAGACCCAAAUCUUGCUAUUCCAGUGGAUAGUCAUGCGGAUCUUUUUUGUAUCUAUGUAGGUAAGGAAAGGGACCUUCCUAUAUAGUUGGGCUAUGGUGCGCGCUCGUUUAUUUCCUGGUGUGUGUGAUGUGUCUUGUGUACUGAUUGCAUUUGCCCAUUCCAGAAGUGCCCAUUCCACUCCUCACUUGUUGGAGAAGGAUAAAAUAUUUGCUAAGCUGCUGUAAACCUUCAUCUGCAGCCCUUGUAGCCCUAAACGUGCCUCCCCUCUGAAUAGAUUCCCGUCUUUUGCCCGUCCGUUUCUGGACACACAACCUGAGAAUACCCACAGCCACUGUCAGGAUGUGGGAUGAGCUCCAAGCUGUUAAGAAGAUCACACCAUUUGUGAACUUGUGGAUCAUCUUCUGGGACUUUAGGUUUUGCCAAUUUGCAGACAAUUAUGAGUCCUGACUGCAUCAUGCUGAGCAGCAGACAGCUCUUUCCUGUUCCUGAAACGCUGUCUGGUGGAAAAAGUGUUGGAUGGUAGUAGCCCUACUUAAGGCAUUCUGGACAUGUUGAGAACACCACCGAUAAAUCUAAUUUUUAUUGUGACAGUGAGACAGCUGCAAUUUGGAGCAGCUCCUGAAGGCUGCAGGUACGGUUGAGCCGCCUUGGAUGUUUUUCCGAACACAUAGAAUUGAGCCUGCUGAAAUUAGUGGGACAUUUGGAUAUCCAUGCAAUGCAAAACCUCACCAUCUUUGAAGCUCUCUAAUUUCCAUAUAUUGCUAUGCUGUUGUUCCGAGUUAAUUACAAAAUACCCUGAGUGAUCAGUUGUGCUGAUUUACAUGAAAGUUGACCCAGUUUCCAAGACUUAAUUCUAAAUUGGAGCUUGGUGAAAAAAUGUCAGUUUCAUAUUCGCUCCGUGCUAUAUACAUAUAUGUACCCAAAGCAUCUGUGCUGAGAUCUGCUUUUGUUUGAAAUAAUGACCCUCCUUUUCCUAGUUCCUCAAUCAGGAAACUUUCCUCUGUUUUGGUGGGUUUUUAUUGUUUGUUUGUGGUUUUUUUUUUUUUUAAUAUUUCAACCCUAUUAUCUCUUUCCUAAAACACAAGUCUCCUUCCUGCAGCCCUUCACCUCCAUGUCCUUUGGGUAAGGAGAAUGAAUCAGAAACAGCAUUUCCUGUGUUACAUCCUGUUGGUUCUUGUAGUUACAGCUAUAAACUGCCAAAUCACAAGAUUUUGUUACAAAUCUAUCAGUAUUUGGCACAUCAACUUAAAGUCUCAGAUUCAGGAGAGGUAAGGAGCUCAUCUCUAGCAGACACUUUUAGACCUGAUGAGUUCAGAGCAGAGCUUUGAGUUCACCAGAGCAGCUCAGAAAUCAGCAUACAAAUGAAACGAUCCGUCUCUUGUAUAAUAUAUGUAUAUGUUUAUAUAAAAAUCUUGCUUUUAAUCUGCUUUUUUCCCACUUGUGCUUGCUCUCCUGCACAUCAGCCCACCCGUGUCUCUAACCGAGAGCGAUUCACCAUGAGUGGGUGCCACUGCUCAGCCCUUCUCCCUGCUGGACGACCACCUCCUCCUACUCUGGUUGUCCACACUUUUCUCAGCCUGAUUCUCACCAGAAAUACCACCCACUGUCUCUUUGCUGCUCUUCUUUCCGGUCCCACGCUGGCUUGUUUCCAGCCACCUUCUAGAUCACCCCACCAUUAUAUAUUGCUAUAUAUAUUUUGAAUCUGGAGCACUAAACAGGCUGACAUGAUUUGCUUAAGCGUGUGUUAUGAAUAACAAGCUGUAGGCCGACUGUUCUGCAGAACGAUGUUGUCUGUGCGUGUGUUCAUGUGUUCCCCACAUCCUGCCGAAAGUCACACAUACGUUCAGUGGCUGCAGUGUUUUUUUUUUAGCAGUGUUUCUGAUAGUCCUCAUAAUUUGUAUGUUUCGUGCCAUCUUGUGGCAAACGGGCUGAACUGCCUGAGCUGCCUUUUACCAGCCUUUUGCCUCAGCAAUCCUGCAAAACGGGCGUUCAUUGGUGAAGCCUUUGUGUCAAAUCAAAUAAUAUUUUUAAAUAGAAUUCCACUUUUACUAAAUGAAGAACAUGAUAUAAAGUGUAGCUGAAAGAGGUGUUUACCAGUUAUUUUCCAAUGUUUAGUUAACUGUAAAUAUUAGUUACUUUUCCUGUGGUUUUUUUUUUUUUCAAAUGAACUAUCCUUUAGCUAAAUAUUAAAAGUUUUAUAGAUCGUGAAACAGAAUGUUAAAAAUUGAUUGCAAAGAUGAUCAAGUCUUAUCAUCUUAGAUCAACAAUAGGCAGCAAAGACUUAGUUUGUGCACAUGUAGGUGGUUAUUUAUCAGGAGUCUCCAAUAACCUUUCUCAGGGCUUGUACAUGAUAGACUAUUUUUUUUUUGGCUGACGAAAACUAUGAAGGUGAUGCUCUGUCAUUAGAGUCAGUAGCUCAAAGGAAGAUGGCAAUAUUCCAGCCUCUAUAAAGAAAUAAAGAUUAGACCUCACUUAAUAAACCA
rnacentral:lncRNA from 1 species